rnacentral:misc_RNA from 1 species
CCAUUCGCGCGUUGCUUCCCUCCGGGGACAACCCGCGUCGGUGCCUUCGGGUGCCCACACACUUGCCUAUGCGAUACCUGUUUGCGCUUCCUCGGCGGGCCCUCCGCCCGCCGCUGGAGCCGAUACCAAACCCUUUUGCAUCUAGAAUCUACACUUCUGAUACCAAACACAAUCGUUA